UGACAAAUUCGCAGCGGGGGUUCUUCUCUCUCUUUGCUCUAUAAAUUGCAAUUUAUGUGCCCUAAUUGAUUUUUCCUUGUCAAAUGCAUUUUUGUUCUUUCCAGGUUUCUAUUUUAGUGUUAAUUCCUCUAUUAGUUUCAUCCACUAGAUCUGUCAAUUUAGUUCUGGAUUGAAAAUCUGGAAAAUAUUUCAGAAAGGAAAUGACAUUUUAAAAACUGCAUUUUUUCAUUUCAAUUAAUGAAACUAAUAGAAGUCACUUCAGUUAUGAUUUUGUUAGCUUUCUGCAACAAAUUAAGCAUUCAAUGAUCAUACUGAGAAUUCUUAGCAAUAAGAAUUAGUCCCUUGAGGUAACGGACAUUGCUUGUACCUAUCAUCGUAUUCUUGUUCCAAAAACCUUUACUGGUUUUUCUUUUGUGUCUCAAAAGGAAGAAGGAAAGAGAAAACAUUCACUAUUAUCUAUUUUUUGAUUUUGAGCUUCUUGAGUUCUGAAUCCUUCUGUUUAUUUUGUUGCUACUAGUUUCAUUGAUGUCUUUUAAUCUAGUACCUCUGUUGUGGUGUUGAUGGAAGCAACAGGCCUGGAGAUGUUGAAUUUUGUUAGAAUUUUUGUGUUCUUGACUGACCAUUUUGCCCUUGUAUUGCCAGCUAGUUUUUGUAGACUUAGUUUUAGCACUUCUAAUAAAACAUAAAUUCUUCUUGAUAUGGACUGACUAAAUUAAGGCCCUAAAAUAUUAUUUCAUCGUGUAAUAUUUUUCAGCCGAUCUUUCAAAGGUAUCCACGGCCUGAGAAGGAGUACCAGUCCUCUCUUAUGUAAAACGACAGGUCACUAGAUUUGGUAAGCAUCUCAUUUGACAUAUCCAUUUCCUUCUUAAUUUUCAGUUGCUGCAAUGAUCUUCCUAAAAUACCAAUUCUUUUCUGCUAUUUUAGAGUAGUUUCCAAAUAGAUAUAUAUUUUACUCUAUUUGUAAUUUGGUAAAUGACUUUCAUUCUAGAUUUGUAAAGAUAAAGAUGAAGCUGAGCAAUGGUUUAUUGGUUUAAAAGCAUUAAUUUCGGGUGGUCAUCAACGGAAGUGGAGAACGGAAACAAGGAGUGAUGGUAUUCCAUCUGAAGCUAAUAGUCCCCGAACAUACACUCGAAGAAGUUCUCCUUUGAACUAUUCACUUGGUAGCGGUGAUAGCUUGUAGAAGAGAGAGAGAGACGAAGAAGCAGAAGAAGAAGA